UGCUUAUUAGUUUUCAAAAGCUGAGUAAUAGAAAAGGAAAAAUAGUUAUUUAUAGAUGUUUGGUAUUGUGUAUUUAAAUGUGUUUUUGAAAAAGAAAUAAGAAUUUUGAUGAAAAGAAACAUAGGCCCUUCACAUUAAGAACUAUUCAAGAGUCUUUGCAGUUGCAUCUUUUACAAUAUUGCUGCUACUAAUAGCAAUGAUAGCAAUGGCUGACAUUUACUGGACUUUUUCAAUGUACUAGAAACAUUCUUUCUGCUUUAUUUGGAGUAUCUCAUUCAAACUUAGUAAAUGCGAGUGCUAUUUCCUCCAUUUGAUAGGAGCACGGUGCUUAAAGUUAAAUGAUUUGCCCAGAUUUGCAUAAUUAAUAAUUGGUGGAGCUAGGAUUCAGUCUCUUCACUGUCUAAUUCUGGAGCUCAUAUUGUGGGUUUUUUUUUUUUUUGUCUCUUUGUUAUUUGUUGGUUUGUAUGAUUUAUGUUUUGUUAUAAAAAUUUUCAAACAUAAAGUAGAGAGCACAUUGAGCUCUUAUAACCAUCAGCCUGAUUUAACCACCAUUAAUACUUGUUUCAUAUCUCCUCCUCCAACUUUUUCCUGCUGGAAUAUCUUAAGGUAAAUUCCAGAUUCUGUAUUAUUUCACCCUGAAAUACUUAAGUUCUCUCUCUCUCUUUUUUAAUUACUAUUAUUAUUUUUUGUCUUUUCUAGGGCCACACCCGUGGCAUAUGGAGGUUCCAAGGUUAGGGUCGAAUCGGAGCUGUAGCCACUGGCCUACGCCAGAGCCACAGCAACGUGGGAUCUGAGCCUCAUCUGACCUACACCACAGCUCACGGCAAUGCCGGAUCUUUAACCUACUGAGUGAGGCCAGGGAUUGAACCUGCAACCUCAUGGUUCCUAGUCGGAUUCAUUAACCACUGAGCCAUGACGAGAACCCCAAUUCCUCAAUUAACAAGAUUUCCUUAAUAUCAUCUAUUCUCUGUUUAGUUUUCCUGAUUGUCUAACAUGUCUUUUAACAGUUGGAUUGUUUGAAUCAGGAUUCAAAAACAUUCAUUCACUAUAUUUGAUUGCUGUGACUCUUAACUAUCUUUUAAACUAGAACAGAUACCGCCUCCCCCCCCCCCCCCCCCCACAACUGUGCUUUUCCACAUACCACACAGACUUGUUGCAGAAACCAAGUGGUUAUCCUGAAGAAUGCCUUCCAUUCUGGAUUUUGCUGAUUAAUUUUUCAUGGCAUCAUUUAAUUUUUGCCUCUAUUCCCUGAAUUUUUUCUAGACUAAGUUAGAUCUAAAGAUUCAUAAUGUAUUGCAUCUGCCAUAAAGUUUGCUUGUCUUACUUUUUGUAAUGUGAAGAUUGAUCAGUGGAUUCCGCUACUGCUCUCCUGAUACUUUCAUUGUGAAGUUUCUGAUUCAUCAUCCUUUCACCUCCCAUUGGUGAUCAAAGCUGGAUUUCUUUCUUUCUUUCUUUCUUUUUUUUUUUUAAUUGAGGUAUACUGAAUUACUGAAUUUCUAAGAAGUUAAAAGUGAUACUUUCCAAUUAUUUGAUCUACUAGGGCUAUUUGGUUGUCCUGAAAUGCAGUUCAAGCAGUACAGAAUGCAUCAAUCUUGGAGUUCCCGCUGUAGUGCAGUGGGGUCAGCAGCAUCUUGGGAGCACUGGGAUGCUGGUUCGAUCCCCAGCCAAGCAUAGUGGGCUAAGGAUCCAGCGUUGCCACAGCUGUGGCUUAGGUCACAGCUGCAGCUCAGAUCUGAUCUCUGGCCCAGGAACUCCAUAUGCCACGGAGGGGC
rnacentral:lncRNA from 1 species